rnacentral:rRNA from 1 species
GAUGAACGCUAGCUACAGGCUUAACACAUGCAAGUCGAGGGGCAGCAUGGUCUUAGCUUGCUAAGGCCGAUGGCGACCGGCGCACGGGUGAGUAACACGUAUCCAACCUGCCGUCUACUCUUGGACAGCCUUCUGAAAGGAAGAUUAAUACAAGAUGGCAUCAUGAGUCCGCAUGUUCACAUGAUUAAAGGUAUUCCGGUAGACGAUGGGGAUGCGUUCCAUUAGAUAGUAGGCGGGGUAACGGCCCACCUAGUCUUCGAUGGAUAGGGGUUCUGAGAGGAAGGUCCCCCACAUUGGAACUGAGACACGGUCCAAACUCCUACGGGAGGCAGCAGUGAGGAAUAUUGGUCAAUGGGCGAGAGCCUGAACCAGCCAAGUAGCGUGAAGGAUGACUGCCCUAUGGGUUGUAAACUUCUUUUAUAAAGGAAUAAAGUCGGGUAUGGAUACCCGUUUGCAUGUACUUUAUGAAUAAGGAUCGGCUAACUCCGUGCCAGC